UUUGUGCGCUUUGUUUUCAGGUCAACUCUGACGAUUUUUCAAGGUCAAUGGAUCUCAACAAAAUUCGCUGGGUACGUUCCUUUGCACAUUUCCGUCAUUUAUGCCAAAUUAGAGGCCUGAAAGGUAGGCAGACUGUUUACAUAUGAGUUUUACUGACUGCCUUGAACA
rnacentral:lncRNA from 1 species